rnacentral:lncRNA from 1 species
GGUUGAGGAGAUUUACUGAAGAUUCACUGGGAGGUACUGGGCGUGAAUGACAGCAGCCAGCGGCCUUGCCGUCUAAAUGAUAUAAAAGGGAAAAGAAAAAGGAGGGUUGCUUCUUUUCUUCAGAGGCGCCCUCCUCUUUGGACGUCAUCUACUGGCUUCCAGCACAGACCCUUUGGCCUCCUGAUAAUGGACUCCCAUGGGACACUAUAGUGAGCUCCAGGCCUUCCACUGGAUCCUAGGUUGAAAUUCAGCUCUCCAAGGCGCAGACAGGCCUUUUGCACUCUUCCACACCUGACUCUGUGGGCAGCCAUUCAAUAUUUAUAAAAUGGAGAGGACUUCUGGGAAGAUGGCAGAGCACUCCUGACUUGUGGCAAGAGAAAGAAAGAUUGAGUAUAUACAGACACAGUGAAAAUGGUUGACUCCAGAGGCCUUCAGGGAGAAACACAUCAGUGGAAUGGAACUGUGCACAACAGCUGGUCAUGAAGAGCUCAAACUUGUGAUCCUCCUGCCUCUGCCUCCCAGAGAGCUGGAUUGCAGGUAUGGGUCAACAGGCCUGGCCAUACUCAGCCCGUAGGGAGUCACACACCAGAGACCUCCACACCAGUUAGAAGUGACCUGGGGAAGAGCAGGCAGGGGCCCAGGCUGUGAGGCUGUGAGGCCUAUUAUACUCUUCCCUCCCUCUCCCUCCCUCUCUGUUUGAGUUGGGAGGAAGCCAAUCAGAUGCGCAGGAUCAGAGAAUCCCUGCUGAGGAGACCGGCUAGUUGCGUUCUCUCAUGAGUGACAGUUCCGGGAGGAGGAGGAAAGGGCUAGGGACAGGGUGCAGGGGCAGAAGACAGCUGAUCAGACCCUGAGGAGCACUGGCAGCCCCCCUCACUAUUAGUCAUGGCCCGAGUGCAAACCUGCACAGAGGAGGCAUGGGCGAAAGGCAGAAAGGUCCAGGCUGUGGGGGGUGGGGGGCAGCUCCAGUGGUGAUGGUUUGGGAAAGUUGCCGCUUUUCCACCUCCUCGUCUCCAUUUGGUGAUUGAGAAAGUUCAUGGACCUCGGCCCCCAGGCUGGAAGUAUAGAUUCUACAGAUGCAAAGCUACUGGGGUGGAGCAGAGAAAAAGGGGGCGAAGAAGCUAUCCAAAGCUCUAAAUGGCCAGGGGUGGCCCAGCCUGUGCACUUUUUGUAUGCAAAUUAUUUCUCAG